rnacentral:rRNA from 1 species
UACAGAGGGGGCAAGCGUUAUUCGGAAUUAUUGGGCGUAAAGGGCGCGUAGGCGGCUUGGCAAGUGGCAGGUGAAAUCCCUCGGCUCAACUGAGGAACUGCCUUUGAAACUGUCUGGCUUGAGGCCGGGAGAGGGUAGCGGAAUUCCCAGUGUAGCGGUGAAAUGCGUAGAUACUGGGAGGAACACCGGUGGCGAAGGCGGCUACCUGGACCGGUUCUGACGCUGAUGCGCGAAAGCGUGGGUAGCAAACAGG